AUAACUAUUGGAAACGAUGGCUAAUACCGCAUAAUAGCUUCGGCUCAAAGAGGGGGACCUUCGGGCCUCUCGCGUCAGGAUAUGCCCAGGUGGGAUUAGCUAGUUGGUGAGGUAAUGGCUCACCAAGGCGACGAUCCCUAGCUGGUCUGAGAGGAUGAUCAGCCACACUGGAACUGAGACACGGUCCAGACUCCUACGGGAGGCAGCAGUGGGGAAUAUUGCACAAUGGGCGCAAGCCUGAUGCAGCCAUGCCGCGUGUAUGAAGAAGGCCUUCGGGUUGUAAAGUACUUUCAGCAGUGAGGAAGGCAGGUACGUUAAUAGCGUGCUUGUUUGACGUUAGCUGCAGAAGAAGCACCGGCUAACUCCGUGCCAGCAGCCGCGGUAAUACGGAGGGUGCGAGCGUUAAUCGGAAUUACUGGGCGUAAAGCGCAUGCAGGUGGUUUGUUAAGUCAGAUGUGAAAGCCCGGGGCUCAACCUCGGAAUUGCAUUUGAAACUGGCAGACUAGAGUACUGUAGAGGGGGGUAGAAUUUCAGGUGUAGCGGUGAAAUGCGUAGAGAUCUGAAGGAAUACCGGUGGCGAAGGCGGCCCCCUGGACAGAUACUGACACUCAGAUG
rnacentral:rRNA from 1 species